rnacentral:lncRNA from 1 species
UAAAGUUCGGUUCAAUUCUGUUUUUCCUUUUUCGGUUAGAUGUUCGGUCCACUUUUUUUCGGUUUUCAAUUUUUUGAAAACCAUCUCUAGCCUGAUGUGCUCCGCUCGAACCCAUUGGACUGACAGACGACUUGGUGAAGGUUGUGGCGGCGGGGGCGGGAGGUUUUGGUGUGGGUGAGGGUUUGGAGUGCGAGUAGAGUGAGGAGGAGGGCAAGAAGGAGGUGAUGGUUUUGGGAUGGGAGCGUUGGGGGCGGUGACUGUGGCAAGGCCGAUCUGGGAAGACGAAUCCUAGUGGAUCGACGGCAAGGCUGCAGAGGUCGAGGUUCUUGUAGAAUUGUUAAACUAAGUGGAAAUAAUAUGCUGGAAGCGUUUAAUUUCAUUCACGCUUGCUGCCAUAUAGAUAGUUACAUGUGAUUAAGAUUACAAAGAGUCCUAUUGGAAUAGAGGUUCCCAUUUAUAUCUGAAGUAUACGAUAAUACGUAUCAACAAUGAUUUGAUAAUAACAGAGAAAAAAUAGUUCUAUACUCUAUUGGACUCUUGUUUAACAGUUCUCGAGGAUGAGUCGAGAGACUUGGUUGAAUGAUAAGAGAGGUUCGGUAUCUGGAUUUGAAGAGAUGUGAAUAGCUGGAUUUGAAGAGAUGUGAAUAGCAGCCAAAAAGAAGUUCGUUAAUUAAGAGAAGAGUAGCCACAACAACCAUGGCUGCCAUUGUUUCUCUGCAAGUUAGAGUAGAUAGAGAAAGUGAGGGAGAAGGUGAGAGCCUUGAGAAAAAGGAGACAAAAAGUAUACAUUGUUAAAUAAAAAUUAAUAAUUUAUUAAUAAUUGUUGAAUUAUUAAUAAAAAGAUUAAUAAAUUAUUAAUAAUUGUUAAUAAGAAAUUAAUAAUUUAUUAAUAAAAAUUUAUUUUUUAUUCCAAUAAGGGAAAUAAUGGGUCCCGCUAUUGUCACGUCAUCAUUAACGGCCAAAUUGACAGAAAAUCUAAUAGAUGUUUGACAUUACAACAAAUUUAUAAGUUGGGGUAUGAAAUUGUGGUUCGACCCAUAAUUAAGUAAGGUAAUUUUGUGUAAUUUAUCCAUUAGGUUUUUUUCCCGACGUCAUAGCAAAUUUACUUCUUUUUUCUAGGAUUUUGUAGUGAAACAAACAUUUCUUCUUUAUUUUUCUUUGUUUCUCGAAUUGGGGAAUUUAGACUAAAUUAAGAUUUGGAUUGGGGGAUUUCACUUAAAAGCAAAGAGAAAAGAACUCAAACAAACUGAAUGUUGUUUGACAAACACAAAUAAUAAAUUAAAUGUCUAAAAAAAAACGCAAUAGCCAUAUAGGGAUGAUGGUUUUGGAAAUAAAUUAAAAUGUAUGGACGUCUUUUAUCCUACAUGGCAUCAAUUUUAAAAAUUGAGCUUUAUUUAGAUAUUUUAAUAUACGGGAGUUUAUAUUUAGAAAUUAACCAUUGUAAGAGGAUAAAUCUAAAGCACCUAUUUCAGUCAUCCAUCGUAAGAAUCCUCAUGUUGCCCAAAAAAUAUUCAUAAGAAACCACACAGCAUCCAUGUGAAAGUUCUUUUUUUGUUCGCAACUUUACCGAAGAGGGGAGAUGACGGCAAGAGAGAAGGUGGAGAGAAUUAACAUGGGAUAGUAUUUGGUGGACACCAUUUUAUUAUGCAUCCCAGGUUAAUUGAAAGGCCCGCACAUAUGAGAAAAUAAAGUAUUACAAAUGCAUAAACAAGCUUAAACAUUUUCUAGAGUGAGUAUUGCUUCAACAAUUGGGGAAGUGUCACUGCCAGUUGACAUGAUUGACACGCAUCCAUUCCAUCUGUCCUUGCUGUACGCUUGACCUUUCUCCAAGUAACCAUAGAUUAAGCUCCAAUAAGAUUCAAAGUGAUUAAGGCCUCGAAUUUCUGUAAUGACCUGCACUUACGUGCAUAUCGCAAGUAUUUAAGAAAUGUCAAAUGUGUUUAAUUUUUCUUAGUCGUUAGUGUAAAUACUAAAUAAUAUAAUAUCGUUAAUAUAUAAAAAAAGAGUCAUUAAUACUCACCGUGUUGUCCGAUUUAGUCCUGUCCCAUGGGUUGCUCCAAGACAACAUCCAGUCGCAUUCCUCGUUAACAAUAUUUAGGCCUCGGUACACAACAGCAGCAUUGGAUCCAGAAGACUCUCCGGCAGUUUUGACGUGCAGAAACGCACCCCACUGACCAUUUGCAAUCAGUGGUGGGUAUGGUGCGUUCCCGAUGUGCCCAUACCAAUCUUUCUUAUAAGCAUAUCUUAUGGUCUCCCCAGUUGCAUUGUAAACAAGGCAGAGUGUGGAGACUCCGUCGCCAUACUGCUCCUUCAGUUUCUCCACAUGUGUUCGAGCGUUGAAGUCCUUCUCCGCGGCAUUUUUCAUAUUCAAUGCCACGUAUGCCCUGUCUAAUCUUCCUAUUUGCUUGUCGGCAUACUCUGGCAUCCCCUUCAAAGUUUCAUCCGUUAUGGGGUUGCCAAAAACGUUAUACGCCAUCUUAACUUGAUUAAUUCUCUCUCUCUCUCUCUCUCUCUUGAUUUUCCUCUAAAGCAUUUCUAUCAGAGGUAAUGCGUAUUUAUAAUCCCAUGAGCAGAGCAGGGAUGUCGACCAAAAGGAAAAGUCUGAAAUGUCCCUUAAGAAAAGAAAAAGAAAAGACGGUUACGCUCUCAUGAUGCAGCUAGCUUUGGAAUCACUAUUAUUAAAAAUAAAAAUAAAAAUAAAAAACGUGAGGGAUGCAUGCCGCAUGCAUGGAAUCACAUUAUCACGUGAACAAUAUUUUCAAAGUUAUAUGUCUGUACCAAUUGUGACAGCGAGGCCCUUCUCCAAGAGUACAGAUUUCUGCUCCUACGUGAGUUCCGUGAGUUUAUUUUCUUUAAAGGCGUAAGAAGAUGAAAUGGAUAAAAUUAUAUUGUACUAGAAUGGCUGACACGGUAAAUUGCUUAUUCAAUUACCUCAUACCAAGAGUGUGUCACUUUAAUGGAAUAAUAAAAAAACUAAGUAGGCACAUUUUUUUAUUUUGUUUCAUCUUUAACAUCUAUUUGUAUCUUUUAUUUUUGUUGUUUUCCUUUACAUGGAUUACUUUAUUGUAGAGAGAGGUGUGGGGCCCGAUUUGUUUAUGCCUCUAUAUGUGACUCAUCAAAAUGGAUUGAAUACACAUUUGCCUACUCCAAUAUUGGAGAUACUCUUGAGGGAUGGGGAUAAGAAACUCAUGAAAGGUUGCGGACCCUCCAGUUUGGCAGAGAUGUAUAUAACUGUUGAAAAAUAUGGUGUAAUUGUUAUAUCUUAAUCACAAACAAAAUCAAGAAAUAAUUCUUGCAAGUAUAUACCAAUUGAAUUACGAACUCUAACCAUAUACAAUGUCCAAUGCACAUAAUAUGGUUAGAAAAACAGAAAAUUGCGGUUGAGUCAAGAACUUGGUCCUCUCUCCUUAAGACAAUUUAUGCAUCUCACUAUGGUGCUCAUGGUUGAUUUUGCGCUUGUUUCCUAAAUACAAUGACCUCGUCCUUACAAUAGUAAUCAUAAGGCCCUAGCGAACCACCAUUGUUCUAAACUCUCUCAAAGACUUACUUAAUUUCUAAGUUAUGAUGAUAUGACUCACAAGAACUUGUAUGACGCAGUUAAUUAAUUUAUUAAUGACUAUAUAUAUAUUAGUGACUCUUCAAAAUAGUUCUCUUUCUUUGGAGAGAAACCCCUUCGGUUAGUGGGGCUGUCCCACCAUGUAUGUGUAUUUUUUUUAGCUUUAUAUUUAUAAAUUCAUUGAAUCCAACGGCUAAGAUUUAAUAUGAUCAAAUCUAACGAUAAAAAAUAAAAAAUCUAACGGUCCAAAUUUAAAUCCAAUGGCUAAAAUAAUAAUAAAAAAAUUUCUUUCAUGUGUUUCAUUUUCUUUCAUAUAUAGUGUUUCACGAGUUUCAUGGUGUCAGUUUAUUGAUUUUCAAUAUUUAUUAGAAUCUAAAUAUUUUUAGGUUAAAAUGUUCAUAAAAUUAGAUUAGGAUAGCCUAAAAAAAUUAUCCUAAAUUCAUUCUUUAAUAAUCUCGGGCUAAAAAUUUAACCCAAAAGGGUUGGAGGAGAAAAACAGUUUCUGAGUUAAAAAUUUUAGGUUUUAACCCAAGAGUUGGAGAUGGUCUAAGGGGGCGGGAGGGUGAGUUAAACAUCACAAUGGGCUAGCAAAUGUGGUUGAAAUUCGCCUUUGGCGAGAAUCGAACCUAAGACCUCUUAUUUACAAAUGAAGAGGAAUACCAAUAGACCGUAGUAUUAAGUAGCGUCAACAAUUGUAUUUUUUUAACAAACAAUAUUAUCUACACUAAGGGAUGAGAGAGUGGGCUAAACCUCACAAUAGGUUAGCAAUAAUGUGAUUCAAAGUCGCCUUUAGUAAGAGUCAAACCUAAGGUCUCUCACUUGUACAAGUGAAGAGGAAUACCACUAAAUUGUAGUACUAAUUAAGUAGUGUCAACAGUUGUAUAUUAAAGGCAAAAGUUGCACUUUUUCUCGUUAAUUUUACAGUCACAACCUUAUUCAGGAACUCAUUAGAUAUAAUUUUCGUUCAAAUAGUUUAAUUUAAUUCAUUUUGAAUUAGCCUACAUGGGCUGCUUGAUUGGAGAGACCACAGGCCACAUAGGGCAGAGAUACAGACAACCACAAGACCGAAAUACCUAAACAAGAAGAGAGAAGACAAGUCCAAACCACGUGGAAACAGCUCACUUUGUGUAUCACCAGAGUUUUUCAAUGUGACUGGCACACGAGGUGAUAUACCAUGUGUUACUAUACAAAUGAUGGGAUAUGUAUGUUAAAAAGUUAAUAACUUAAAAAUUAAAACUUUCAACCACUUACAUAAAAACACAUGAUGUACCACACGUAUUUCAGUCACAAUGAAAAAUUUAUCGUGUAUCACACUUAGAGAAUCUCCCUCAAAUGACCUGUUUUAAACGAGGCUAAAACUGAAAAAACCAGUGCAUCAAACUUUGGAAAUCUCCCUCAAUUGACCCAUUUUACAGAAGCAAACGAGGCCGGCCGCGAAUCCCCAAUAAAGCUGAAAUAAUCUUCCACAAUCUUGAAUUUUCCUUCUUGUUCACGGAAUCUCUAUCACGUGAACAACGUUUUGGUUUCACGUCAACAGUUGAUAUUGACAUUGAGGCGGAUUCUAGAGAAAGAAAGUUUGUUGAUAUUGUCAUUGAGAAGUUCGUUGAUAUUGUUGUUUAGUCAUCUAUAUGUGUUAAACCAAUCAAUAGUUUUGGUAACAAGUAGCAUUCUCAUGAUGAACCGUCGAUUUGUUUUAUACGUAUAAAUCGCUUAAUGUAAUUCAAAGACACAUUUGGUGAGAGUCAAACCUAAGGCUUUUCAUUUACAAGUGAAGAUAAAUAAUAUUAAACCGUAAUACUAAGUGACGUCAAUAAUUAUAUAUUAAAGGCAAAGGUUGCACUUUUUCUCGUUAAUCAACAGUCACAAUCUUAAUUUUCGUUCAAAGUUUAAUUUAAUUCAUUUUGAAUUAGCCCACAUGGGUUGCUUGAUUUGAUGUUGAUGAUCUGGAAGACCACAGGCCACAAAGGGCAGAUAUACAGACAACCACAAGGCCGAAACAGCUAAAAACAAGAAGAAAGAAGACGAGUCCAAACCACAUGGAAACAGCUCACUUCCUGCAUCACACUUUAAGAAUCUUUCUCAAUGACCAGUUUUAAACGUGGCAAAAACUGAAAGAACCAGUGCAUCAAACUUUGAAAAUCGAUGAUCUGGAAGACCACAGGCCACAAUGUUGGAGGAAGAUGGAUAUGAGAGAAUAUGGAAAAGAGUUUAAACAGAAAACUGAAGCUUUUAUUGAUUUCAAAUUGAUUACAACACUAGGCCAUCUUAUUGGCUAUUUAUAAUAACAUUCAGACCUUUUCAUUAAAGACAUAACUCUUGGAUUAGUUCCAAGAGUUGCAGACACAACCCUUGACUUCUAAUGAGAUACAACUCUUCCUAAACAUAGCUCUUCUCAAGAGACACAACUGUACUUAACAACUGAUACAACUUACAAGGAGAAAAUGCAUUACGUUUAACACACAAAGGGCAGAGAUACAGACAACCUAAAGGCCGAAACUGCUAAACAGGAAGAAAGAAGACAAGUCCAAACCACAAGGAAACAGCUCACUUCGUGUAUCACACUUUGAGAAUCUUUCUCAAUGACCCGUUUUGAACGAGACAAAAACUGAAAGAACCAGUGCAUCAAACUUGAAAAUUGAUGAUCUGGAAGACCACAGGCCACAAAGGGUAGAGAUACAGACAACCACAAGGCCGAAACAGCUAAACAGGAAGAAAGAAGAGAAGUCCACACUACAAGGAAACAGCUCACUUCGUGUAUCACACUUUGAGAAUCUUUCUCAAUGACACGUUUUGAACGAGGCAAAAACUGAAAGAACCAGUGCAUCAAACUUUGAAAAUCUCCCUCAAUUGACCCAUUUUACAGAAGCAAAACGAGGCUGGCCGCGAAUCGCCAGUAAAGCUGAAAUAAUCUUCCACAAUCUUGAAUUUUCCCUCUCAUUCACGGAAUCUCUAUCACGUGAAUAACGUUUUGGUUUCACAUCAACGGUUGAUAUUGACAUUGAGGUGGAUUAUAGAGAAAGAAAGUUCGUUGAUAUUGUCGUUUAGUCAUCUAUAUUUGUUAAACCAAUCAAUAACCUUGGGGACAAGUAGUAUUCUCAUGAUGAACCGUCAAUUUGUUUUUUGCGUAUAAAUUGCUUAAAGAUCUCCAAAUUCAUUUUUUUUUUUUGCAUAUAUGAUUUUUAAAUAAUGAUAGAUAAUGAACGGUUUCAAUCGUGAAGUUUGUUCAUUAAUCGUAAGUGGGGGGGGGGGGCGCAGGAAACACAAGCAUUAUUCAUCUAAUAUAUAAUCUAUCGUUGGCCAAUGUCAAUGUAGAAAAAUAAGGAAAUACAAUUAAUUAAUUAAUUAUAAUUGUUAGAGUAUUAAAAUGAUCUAAAUAUAGCAUGCACGAUAAGUAAAUGCAGAGACUCGGGAUCUCCAAAUAUAGCUAAUAUAGCCUCCUUAAAAUUGUUAUCCACGAAAGCAUGAAACAUACAUCAUUUUUAGUGUCUCACGUACGCAUUCAUCUUUAUAUAUGAACGUUAUAUUGAAUAAAUCAAACAGAAACAACAAACAUCAUUAAACAAGAAUGUACUUGUGAGAAGCAAAAAAGUAAGUACCGACCACUUCUUCACUAUAAAUAGGCUAGCUUGUCACUUUGAACUAAGCUAAGCAUCCACCUACCUAAAAAGACUUGCACUACCUACUAGUACUCCUACUACCACCUUUGUUGUACUCCUCCUCCUCCGUCAUAUGGCUCAGGCGGAAUUUAAUCACUUUACCUAUCUCAGUCCUGAGCAGCUGCGCAAGCUUGCUCGUAUACUUUACUACCAAGAAGCUGAGGCCAUUAAGAAUAUCCAGUUCGAAUACGAAGCCAAACUCGCGAAAUACCUCCAGGAUUCCAAAGCUUGUUAUGAAUCGGCGAUAAGGCUUUUGGAUAGUGCUACUACGUUGGAGCCUUGGUUUGAUCACGGCGACAAGGUUCGGGCUUCUAUUGCUCACGACAUCUACGGUUAUAUUGAAAACGCUGCCAACCAUGCAAUCCAGUUCGUGAAAAACUUUUAUGUGCGAAUGGAUUACGUAAACAAGAUUAAAAAGCAUGUCAAUGAACUCAGUGGUAAACUGGAUGAUCAAGUGACCAAUAUGGAAGAGCUGGCAAAAGAAGCUCACAAAUUCAGGAACGACUCGUUGGAGAUCGCCAGGGGUAGUCAAAGUCCCGCAUCACGCCAAUACUCCAGAUGGAUCAAGGAAACCGGCAAGACGUUUGAAGAACUAGUGCAGAAGUAUGUAUGCGUACGUAUGUUGUGUGUGUGUGUGUAUUAGCUAUAUAUAUAAUCACAAAAACAUACGGACCCCUUCUUAGCAGGAAUCCCAUAUGUGUGUAGUUUCAAAAUUCAAGAAUAAUUAAUUUUGUUCAAAUAGUUGUUUGACCAAAAAAAUUGCUUAAACAAUUUCUAAUUUUGCUUUCUUUUUUCUGACAAAUUCUACAAUUACUUUGAUCUAACAUUAGUCUCUUAAUAAUUUUAAUGGGUGCACCAUUCACGCAGGUAUCAGACAGAGCUUGGAUACGGAAGACGUCGUUUUGCAGACCUUGAAGAUUUUGAAAAGAUAAAGGUAAGGAUUGGUAUUGCUAUUUUUAGGAUAAUUAAUACUAAGGAAACUAAAUUUGUAGACAAAAAUUCCAAAUUAAAUGAUGUGUCACCAACAUGAAUAACAUAUAUAUCAACGGUUAAGUAAUAGUUCAAUCAUCAACUUUCAUAACAUUUAGUUUACAACAUUUUGUCUACAAAUUUAGUUUCUCUAACAUUACCCUAUUGCAAAUUUAUGACUCUACUUCAAUUUUUAUUUAUUUUAAAUUUGUCGAUAAUAGUCCUCACUCGUAGAGUAAUUGCUAUGCAUUAGGGGCUUUCUACUUUCUAGUAAUUAUAUUCUACAUCUAUAGGUUGAGGACAGACAACACAUAUUUUUUGACAAAACGUUUGGAAAACAUGCAUAUUUUUUUACAGACGUUUGGAUUAAUCCAACUUCAAACCUUAAUUAAUUUUGUAUGAGCAUGAAAUUUUGUAUUAGCCACAAGAAAAGACCUCAGGGUACGUACGUACAUAAAAAUGAAACCAUCUAUUAGUAUUAUUUACUACUAUAUAUUGUAAUUUGUUUGGUCAACUUAUCGAUGUGUGAUUUUCAAUAUUCUUAACUUGUUUCUAUAUUAUAUACUUUACUUGCUUCUAUGUACGUAGGUGUACGGCACAAUCAUAUCUAAAUCCGGACGGGCAAAUAUUGAUGUAACUGCGUAUUCAAAGAUUUUUGGGGCUGCUGGCAUAGCUGUUCUUAUUCUCGCUGCAGGAAUUUUAGUAUGGGACAUAUAUUCAGCAGACAAUCCACUUCAAACCGCGGCGCGUGACGCUGUAACGACUGCAGCAGCAAUUGGUGGUGCGAUGAUAGGAGAAGUUGUUGGAGUUGCCCUCGCAUCCAUGGUCACUGGCAAUGCUUUGUUAGUACUCAUGGCGGGAAUAACAGCCGGCAUCGCCGGCGCUUUUCUUAUCGGAGAAUUCGCCAUCUGGUUGAUUAAUGUGAUUUUUGGGUCUGGAGGCAGUGCCCCAUUGAGCACGAUGGGGCAUCGAUGUUACGUCACACAGUUGCCCGAGGGCUCAGUUCUGGCACGCCAAAUUGCACAUCAGCAAUCUUAAGAGGGUGAGGAUCUACAUAUCCUUAGCGGUUAUGAGCACUACUACACCCCAAGUCUACAUAUUAUCCGUACUGAAUAAUUUGAGGCCUAUUUUGUGCUAUACUACUUUUAAUUUGUACCGUCAAUAUGAGAGAUAUUGUAAAUCUUAUCUAAAUAAGAAACCAAAUCCAUAAAUAAAGGUAAUGCCAUGCAAUAAGUAUCGAUACUUUCAUUUAAUUGAACAUGAAGGCAAUGCUAGUGGUGCGAAAGCAAUCAUGCCUAUAUACCUGAUAGGAUUAGACAUGAUAAAAGGGAAAUUGCAAGAAAGUAAAUGUAGAAAUGGGAAAGAAAUCAAAUUAAAUUAAUAUAUUCAUUCAUACAGUGGCGAAGCCAGAAAUUAUCGAGGGGAUGGGCGAACUUAGAAGAGUGCAAAGUAAAAAAAAAUGGCAAACCAACGAGUGAUAAAACAUAAAUUGUUGCUAAAUUUUCUUGUCAUGCGGAUGAUAUGGGAUUUAGGUUGGCAAGGUUUAUUUUGGAGACAGUGUCUACGAAUUGUUUCACGAUAAUUAGGUGGAUAAUCAAGCAUUCGACGUCUAUGUCUAGGGUCUUAUAGUAUCGUUCUAUUACGUAACUGUAUAAUGGGAAGAAAAAAAAUCUUAGACUUUUAAUCCUAGAGUAGACUACACUAAUAUGACUAAUAACUAAUCAAACUAACAAUUCAAUUAAUCAAAUGUAAAAAAUUAUACAAAAUUAUUCAAUAAACAAAAAUUCAAUUCAACUAACCAAUAUAAAUAAUCAUAUACAUUAUUCAAUAAUUCAAUUAAUCAAUCAAUAAUCAAUAAUUCAAUUUUCACCCUAAACAAUAAUUUCAUUUGUCAAUACCCAGAGAAUUCAUAUCAAUUAUGAAUAAUCAAUAACCAUAUUAAUAUAUUAUCCUAUAUUCUAAAUAAAAAUAAUCAAUUAGGGUUUGAAAUAAAAUAUAUUUCAGAAAAUAAAAAAUAUACCUCAAAUUUGGGAAACGGAUGCUGGUGUGGUAUAUGGAGUCUGGCGUGGCAGCUGGAAUGGAAGGCCAACAAAAUAGGGUUGGAUGGCUUGCUGGGAGCCUGGGAUUGGGCACACUUUUGAAAAGUGAAGGGAUUUUAUCGUUUGGGGAAAAGAAGGUGUGGUGGGGGGGAUGAAUGGGAAACUGGAACCGGUUGGAUGGGAAUGCGAACUAGUGGUCCCCGCAAUAUUAUUUUUUCUAUUCAUAUAACAAGUAAAACGACACCGUUUAGUUUAAAAAUUAUGUUUUUUUUAUCAGGACCAAAACGACGUCGUUUUGGCCUGGAUUUAAAAUUUAAAAACAAAACCCCUGCGCACUGGCUGGGGAGCAGCGCAGCAGCAUGAACAAGAACAACACCAUGUUUUCUAGAUUCCGGCCGAACCAGAGGGGUUUAGGACUCGCUCCUGGGCUUGUUUUCCGACGAGCGGAGGGGCGGUCGCACCUCCUCGCUCCUAUGUAGCUUCGCCACUGCAUUCAUAGUCCUCUUUACAUAAGAAAAGAAGUUUAAAUAGAUUCAAGGAUAAUAGGGUUUGAGGUGUCGACAGGCCUAAUGGUAUUACCUAUGUAAUGGGCCUAGAAAAUCUGUUUGUUCUAAAAAAUGGAAUCAAGCUGGAUAAUACAUUUGUUGUCCCUUACAACCGUUAGGUAUUAUUGAAGUAUCAAGCAUAUAUAAACGUUAAAUCAUGCUGUCAAUCAACACUCAUUAAGUAUCUUUUUAAGUACAUAACUAAAGGUGUUGAUCGAACUAGAUGACGAGUUUGAUGAGGUUAUGGCUUAUCUAAAUAGUAGAUACUUAUGCCCAUACGAAGCAGUGUGGAGAUUGUUACAGUUUCACAUUCCUUUUAGAUAACCAUCGGUUGAGAGGUUGUCUGUAGACCUUCCAUCUGACCAACAUGUUCUUUUUAGAGAGACUGAUGAUCUAAACCAUGUUCUUAACCACCCUAAUCUUGAAAGCACUAUGUGAACACAGUGGUUUCAAACGAAUGUCUAAGACCGUGAUGCAUGUAUGUUAGCUUACGUUGAGUUUCCUACCAAGUAUGUUUGGAAAAAUGAUGAGAAACAAUGGACCCAUAGAAAAAGAGGUAGAUCUCUAGGAAGGGUUGCCUAUAUUCACCCUGCUGCGGGUGAAUUAUACUAUUUGAGGUUGCUGCUAAUUACCAAAAAGGCAGCUUUAGUUUUGCUAAUUUAAGGACCAUCAAAGGCAUUAUUGAACCCACAUUCCAAGCUGCAUACACCUCGCUUGGCUUAUUGGGGAUGAUAAGGAAUGGAAUAGCGCUAUGUUAGAAGUGGUUGUCACUGCGUCAUACUUUCAAUUGAGGCAAUUGUUUGUCACAUUGGUUCUCUUUUGUGAUGUUGCUGAUCCAUCAACUCUUUUUGAAACUCAUUGGAAGACGAUGUGCGAUGACAUUUCGAAAAACAUGAUCAAUGCUUUUGGCCUACAAGAUGUCUCUAAAUACCAAGAUCAACUUAGAAAUUCAUAGAAAAAUUGUUUGCUGCUUCGAAUAGUUCUUUGUCAAAGCAUCACCUACCACAACCAAACAAGUUGAUGAUAAAUAGAGUUACAAAUAGGAGUUUGAUGGAAGAGUUAGAUUAUGAUGUUGACUCACUAAAACAUGAGCACUCAAACCUAUUCAGGCAGUUAAAUAGAGAGCAAAAAUAUGUUUACGACAGUGUCAUACAAACAAUUCACAACAACAGAUCUAGCCUAUUUUUUGUACAUGGUCAUGGUGGAACAAACAAAACUUUUUUGUGAACCACCAUCAUGGCUAGAAUUAGAUCCCAAAAUCAAAUUGUUUUAACAGUGGCUUCAUCUGGAAUUGCCUCCCUCUUGCUUCCUGAUGGAAGAAUAGCUCACUCUAGAUUUAAAAUUCCUAUCAACAUCACAUAUUGCUCGGUUUGUGAGAUUAAAAAAGGGACUCGUCUUGUAAAACUAAUCACUGAAGCUGCUCUCAUUAUUUGGGAUGAAGUCCCUAUGAAUCAUAAACGAUGUUUUGAAACCCUAGAUAGGUCCAUUCGUGAUGUUCUUAAAGGGUCAAAACCAGGUUUUGACCAUUUGCCGUUUGGAGGUAAGUCGAUUCUUUUUGGAGGUGAAUUUAGGAAAAUUCUUCCUGUUAUUCCAAACGGAAGUGUUGCUAACAUUGUCGAAGCUUCAUUAACGAGUUCACACCUUUGGCCAUAUUAACAAAAAAAAAUUUAAAGCAAAACAUGAGGCUUUCAAAAAACUAGUUUGGACGAAAGAGAAAAACAAGAACUCGCUCAUUUUACAAAGUUGAUAUUAGACAUUGGAAACGGUACUGCUGCCAACUCUUUACCUUCAACUAAUGAAAAAAGCUCUUGGGUUCAAAUUCCAGAACAAUUCCUUAUCCGUUUUGAUGAAGAUCCCAUCAAAGCCAUGGUUUCAGCUGUGUAUACGAAUUUCAAAACUAAUUUCUAAGAUGUGCCACAUUUGAAAGAAAGAGUUGUUGUCACACCACGAAAUGAUACAACAACUGAAAUAAAUGCUUUUAUAUUGGGUAUGGUGCCUGGCGAAAAUCGUACCUAUCUCAGUUUUGAUUCGAUGUCUUCUUCAACGGAAAAUUUAGAAAAUUUAGAUGUGCUUUAUCCAAAUGAAUUUCUAAAUUAACUUGAUUUACCUGGUUUACUGCACCACAAGUUAGAUUUGAAAGUUGGCACCCUAGUGAUGUUGCUUAGAAAUUUAAACCAAAGCGGUGGAUUGUGUAAUGGAACAAGAUUGGUUGUGCAAUUGAACGGCAUAAUUAUACAAGCAACAAUCAUAACGGGAAGCAACAUCGGUGAAAAAGUUUAUAUCCCCAGGAUAAUUACUGAAUCAUCUCAGCAUAAAUAUCCUUUUACUCUGUGAAGGUGACAAUUCCCUCUAAAUUUUUUUUAUGCGAUGACAAUCAACAAAAGCCAAGGACAAUCCUUAAAAAUUGUUGGCCUAUAUAUGUCGCAAACUGUUUUUUCACAUGGACAACUAUAUGUUGCGCUAUCUAGAGUCACCUAAAAAAAAGGUCUCAAAAUCCUUAUUGCUCACGAUAGCGACAUGCCCUACGGUUAUACAAAAAAAAAAACAUAGUUUAUAAAGAUGUUUUAAAACAUUUACAAGAAGGUAUAACUUUGCGUUAUUAUUUUGUCCGUUUGUUUAUUUUUGUAAACAUGACUCCACCAUUUCUUUGUUAAAUCACCUUAUUCAGAUAGACAACAAAUGAAGGGGUGUGCUAUCGACACACCCCUUUUUACUUCUCACACACCCCUUAUUAAUUUCUAUCCGUUGAUUUUUUCAAUUCAUCCGUUCCGACGGCCGAAAACCAAAAAAGUGUGGAAGAAAUAAAAAGGGGUGUGUGGAUAUUAUAUUUUGUUCUUAAAAAAAAAAAUCACAGUGAACCAUGCACACUUUUCCUAUCUUUGUAUUUCACUACAGAUAUUAUAUUUUGUUAUGUUUGAGGAAGCUUUUAUAAUUGUAGAAACAAAACUAAGAAUGAACUAUCAAUUCUUCUUUUUCUUAAUUUUUCUUCAUUGUUUUUUAACCUAUACAAAUCAAACUAAAUGUGAUUUUGCAAGGUUGCUUCAACUGCUACCGAUUUGAUUCUUGGAGUAAUCUCCAUUGUUAUCUUGCAUAUGAUCUUAAAUGCUAUCUAAGUAGCCACAACUAUACUAUACUGCCUGUUUACAUGAUUCUUAAACUAUAUGCGUUAAAUGUUAUCCCACUCAUUUAGUAUUAUGUCUGAUUUUAAAUUUCUCCUUCUAAAAGGGAGAUGCGGUUCACGGAACCAUGAACGGUCGAGACAUCCAAUUUUUUUUGGACCAUCUAAGUGUCGAUAAUGUAUACGAAAUCAGUAAAUUUCGUGUCGUCCACAACAAGAGAUCAAGCAAGGUUGUCCCUCAUGUAGCCAUGAUUGAAUUGAAUAGGAAAACCACAAUCGUUCUUGUUCACAACACAAGUCAAGAGCUCCCAAGGAACUGGUUCAAUUUAAUUGAGCUUAAUCAACUUCAUAGGAGAAUCGACAACGAUGUUGAGCCUAUAGGUGACAAAUUUAGUUUCAAGUGCUGCUCGAACAUCUAAGAUGAUCAUUUAUAUUUUUUUGUUGGCUUUGGUGUGCACUCAUUCCUGCCAUCAAAUAUUAUAUGUACAUGUGUUUGGUUGCUUGACGGCUGUACAUCUAACUGAAAAGAUCACUAUCCAGAACACAAGAGUUGCAAAGAAGAGAAAUCUUAACCGGAAAAAUAUUAGGUAAUUUCUAUUUACGUUAAACUCUAAAUAUUAUUUAUAUGGCACCCUAUUUAUGACAUAUACCAAACCGUCAUCUUUUGUAUUACUUACAGAGACGAAACAGUGAGAAUAACCUUAUGGGUAGAGACUGCAACAGGUUUGAGAACAGUGGAAUACAAACGACUUUGCCACCUGUAUUUGUUGCUUUCACAAGCCCGAAAGUAAAACAAUACCAAGGUUAUACCCUGCCAUACUUUAUCUAACUACUUAAAGUUUCAGUUUGUUGAUUGUUAUCUCAUAUUUAUAGAAAACAUGUUCUCUGAAGCACAUGAUCAACCGUUUGUGUUUUCAAUCCAGAGAUUCCACAACUCUCUGAAUACAAACACAAAUAAAUCGACAACCCUUCUUUAAUAACUUUUGCGUUUAUAUUUCUUCGAUUAAUCUUUCUCACCCUAAACAUGCACAAAACAGGUUUAACCAUCUGAGAUCACCUCUUCAAAUCAUGCCCACCUCAGCUGAGAUGUAUACAGGGCGUGCAGUCAGUGCUACUUCUGAGUAAAAAACAAUUGAGAGUUGCUUUUACUUGAUCCUGCCUUGCACAUGGUUAGUUUUUCAUCACCAACCUGUUCACCGAAAUCACCUCUUUUUAAUUAUAGAAUUUUCGUGCUGCAUCUAACUUGACCAUCUCUUGAUUUGUUUCUCUAUUUGUUUAUACUCCAUGUUUGCAAAGUGAAUUUGAAAACCCUGUGUUUCUGUUUGGGCCCAAAAUGACAAUUUGGGCCAAGUUUAGAGCUAAUUUCGACCCAACGGUCUUCCAGGGGUAUCAUAGGUCGGCUAGGUCACCAUGAGCUGUCUAGUCAGAUUCGGCUGAGUCCUAGUACAAGAAGGAUUGAUCUGGAAAAAGAUGAGGUAGUUGAAUCAUGGCACGACAGGGAGUCUUGAAGGUGCUGAGAAGUAGGAAAGAAUUUAGUUCGUUAUAGAGCUUGGUUCAAAGACCUGUUGGAACUAGGAUUGGCCGAAAUCUAAUCAGAUUGGAUUGAUGGAUCUUACUCCGAGUACAUCUCUAGUUCGGCUAAAGGCAGGCUUGUUGCUAUAAAUACAAGCCACCGUGCUACGUUUCAACCUCUCUCCAUUUCAACACAUAAACUGCCCUGCGCAAACUCUCGCUCUACGCGAAACCUCUCAACAACCUUGAUAUUUUUAUUCUCUUCUUUCGCCAUCGCAUCUUCAGUUUGGAUAAACAACACUGCUUCGGGACCGACUGGUUUUUUAUCCAAGUGUCGGUCGACAAGGAUUUUCAAGUCCUUGUUCGUAGAGGUCAUCUAAUCAGCCUUCUCGGCGAAGUGAGGUGUUACAAGUUACUAGGCUCGACACAUUGAACGCCGAGUUGUUUAUGAUCAGAUACUCACAAGUUAGUUUUAGAGUUUGGCAUUCCGACGACCGAGCCAUAUUCACCAUUAAGACAUAUAUCUCUUUUGAGUAUUUGUGUCCAUAUAGAUUAGUACCAGUUCGGCGUGCUUAUACUCUCACGAAUAUAAUCACCAUGACCGAACUCGGUGCUAACGAUUCGUGAGCUUCAUAAGAUUAGCAGCCUUGUCUUUAGGCUCUAGAAUCCAAAGGCCAAGACGUGUUCCUUCCUCGGCCGCAAUCGCAAGACAGAAGUCAGCAGUGCACCCAACAUGACAUCAACACAUUUAUUCCCCGGCCGAGCUCGGCCGGCGAGUUGGCACGCCCACACACAACCGACGGACGUAGUUAGCUUAUUAGUUACUGUUUGGACCCGUUUUUACACUAUCGGCCCGAGUAAUCGAGGUCGUUGAAUGAACAAAAUUUUAGACCGUUGAACGACAAAGUGGUUGAGAUGAUUUUCAAUUAUUAUUGAGGAAUAAUAUUGUGAUUUUAAUCAUGGUAUUAUCUCUUAGUAAUAUAUUAAAUUAUUUAAACCUAAUAUUUGUCUAAAUCCCAAUUGAUUUGGAUGAUGAUGGAAUAUGGGGAUAUGCAUUAAGGUAUGGCAUCAGAUAACAACAUGCAAAGAUAUUGGGGAUACGUUUUGCAUAUGUGGUAUUGCUUUGGCUACAUGACACAUGCAAAAUUAAGACUCCUAUGCAAAGUGGUAUUUGAUGGAAGAUGGCAUCUCAAGUGAUUAGCUAAUAUUGCAAUUAAAUUGCAUGCAUGGUUGCACCUGGACAUGUGUCGUGGGAAAGAAAACAUUAUAAUUUCUAUUGGGAGUCUUGGCUAUGACUGACAGCUUAAUGGGAUAAAGUAAGGCUACUGAUGAAGUCAUCGAGAUAAGAAGCCUAGGUGGGCUAGACUUCUAAUGUGAUGUGAUAAGACUAGAUAGGUUUUUAUCCUAUUUGAAAAGUCACGAACAAUAAUCUGAAGGAUGUGCCUUGGCUCUUGAUGCGGAUCACGUUCAGUUCCACAAAUUAAAGUUGCAGUUGGACUCUACGAAAUUAUCUGGCCGCGCCACACAACAUUUGCUCCUAUAAAUACAGAGGCAGUGGCAACGGAAAAAUGGGCUCAUACUCAACACACAAACUGCCUUGUGCAAACUGACAUGUCCUGAUCAUGAUAUUCUCUAAAUACCCGGAUAGGCACGUACUGGCAGACACCUGAGGGUGACGAAAGCCAUUAAUUACAAGAGUAAUGAUUAGGAGAAAAUAUUCAUGAAUAAACUUUAGAAUCUAGAAGUAAUAAGCGAAGUUUAAGGAACUGUCUAGAGUGCACAUAACACAAUCUAAUUCAAGAUUUACAAAAAAGAAAGAUCAUUACAAGAUAUCACACAAGUGAGUGGUAGAUUGCUAUUGGUAAGGGAAUGCCUCGUACGUCGUGUCGUAGUCCUCGUUUCUAAGACCUGAAUGGGGGCGCAAAACAAAAGUGAGUGGACCAAGUUCAUAAAUAUAAUAAUAAUAAUAAAACAGUUAUCAAUGUAGUAACCCCCACAAUUUAUAUAUAAUGAAAACUACUAGCAUAAUAAGUGAUGGAUUUAAUAAAAAUCCUCGCAUGCCAAAAAUAUCUCAAAAGUCAUAUUGCGGAAUAACAUCGCCGAAAUCAAAACAGUAAACAUCUCAUAGAUCGUCUCGUAAGCGCGGUGUGCUGCUAGAAAGAUUACUGAAUAAAUAUAACUCCCGGCCCUAUGCUAGCACCGUGGUCACUGAAUAAAUAUAACUCCCGCCCCAAUGCCUGCUCCGUGUCCCUCAGCCCGUAGCUAAGGAUUAUUUCUCCCGGCCUAUCUGCCAACACCAGAUCCUCGCCCCAGGUGGCAUAGUGUCCACUAGAUACGCACAAAUAGUUACGCCUCUCAUAAAUAACCACUUCAUAGUAUAAAGUCAUCCAUCGUCUAUACUAUAAAGAGGGGUUUCUAAAACAUGUUCUAGCAUCCUAUCGUCAUCCUCAGAUAGUCUACCAGUUCAUGGUUUUUAUAGAAAAUAACAUAUUUUAAAAUAUAGCUCAAUAUAGGCCAACAAUUAAUUCCUCACCAAAACGAGACGAUAAACAACAUAUUUCAUAAACUUGCUUAACAUAAAACUCCGUUCAUAAAUUCGUAAGGCAUGCAUUUAAUUUAUGCAAUUGAACUAUGAAAUUAUGCAAAUUUGAGAAAGGGUCCACUUACAGAUACUCCUUAGCAGUAGAGUUGUGCGGAUAAGGAUUAAGAAUUUCUUCACUAGCAACUUCACCUAAGCACAAAAAUGUAAUAAAUAAAUAAAAAGAUUUUCUAAAGGAUUUGGGCUUGAACUAAAUAAAAUAAGGUAUUUGGGUUGAAAGGGUUAAGGUCUAAUGGGUUUUCGAAUCCUAAGGUUUUUGGGUUAAAGGGUUUUAGGGUGAAGAAGAGUGGUUUGGGUUUAAACCCAAACCCACACUCACACACACGCCAGCCCAUAUACACACACCUGCACAGCACAUACAUACACACCCACACAUGCACAACACAUGCACACACACCACACAUGCACGGACACACACACACAACACACACACGCACUACAUAUCACACACACCACACAACCCACACACGCACACACAGCCCAAAACACACACACGGGGCCUAGACAGGGCACGACCCACAUUACACACAUGCACAACAGUCCACACACAAGCAGACCGGGCUUGAAGCCCUUUCCUUUAAAACCGGCCCAAGGCCCUUAGGGUAUUUGGGUUUUAAAAACAUAAAACAAAAAAUAAAAAUGAUACGGGCCAGGGUAUUGGGUUGGUCCAAAACGGGCUAAGGCCCGUGGUGUUCUAAAUGGCCUGGAAGGCCUGAUGUUGCUGGAGGAGAACGUCGGAGCUGCUACAGCUCCGGCCGACGGCAAACAGGGGUUUUAGACCCUGAUCUAACUACCAAAAUGAAGAGCAAGAUGAGGGGAAGAUAUUGCUACCCUCGAAUAGUUGUGACACGGUCGGAGGUGACCGGAAAUUCCCUCGAAACUCACGGGUUCGCCGGAAAAAUGGGUGAGCUUCCCCCGCGCCGUUCCUGUCUUCAAAACCUUGGAAAAACAAUGUAAAUCUUAUCACACAAUGUCCAACAACAUCAAUGGUGAUUUAAAAAGGGAUCCAACCUUACCUAAUCGGAGAAAUAGAAAAAUCUCGCCGGAGAGUUCUUCUGGGUUCCUCUGUGUCCCGCAGCAACGAAAGAGAGGGAGAGACGAUAGGGUAAUGAUGGUGAAUGAGUUGUAGGUAUGGGGUUGGUAAUGGGUGUAGGCUCACGGGAGGAUGAGAGGGAGAGAGAUGAGAGUGAGUGCAGAAAGAAAGAGAGAUGAAUGAGAGAGGUCUCGGGGUUGGGGGGACAAAAAGAGAGAAAAGAGAGGUGAGUUAGGAUGCUGCCACGUGGCAGUUUGGGGUGAAACCACAUAUAAUAUGAAUAAUUGGGGGGUGGUUGUAACACAAACCCUCGCUCUACGCGAAACUUCUCAAACAUCUUGAGGUUUUUAUUUUCUUUUUCGCCAACACAUCUUCAGUUUGGAUAAACAGCACUGUUGCCGUAGAAUCAGCCAACCGCGGAGCACCUUCAGUUUGGAUAAACAGCAAUACGUCGAGGCCGACUGGUUAUCUAUCCAAGUCUCGGUCGAGAAAGAUUUUCGAAUCCUUAUUGGAAGAGGUCAUCUCAUUAGCCUUAUCGGCGAAGUGAGGUGUUACAAGUUACUACAUUCGGCACGUUGAAAGCCGAAUUUGAUAUUGAACUUCGUAGAACUAGCAGCCUUCUUCAGGCUCUAGAACCCGAAGGCCGAGACGUGUUCUUUCCUUAGCCGCAGUCGCAAGAUCAAGAAGUCAGCCACCCGCUUAACGCAACAUCAACAAAUUUUACUCCUCGGCCGAGCUUGGCUGACGAGUUGGCACGCCCGCAUACAACCGAAUGACGUAGUUAGCUCAUUAGUUACUCGGCCUGCGCACAACGUAGGCUUGGUAGUUUUUAGGGUCAACAUUUUGGCACGCCCAGUGGGACCCAGUGCUAAAACUACGAAGUUCACAUGAUAUAUCUCAAUCAGGCUUCAUGGGAUGAGUUUCAUCGCCUAUUAAAUGAGCAAAAACAACGUUUCGAGAUAUGGGGUAGAAUUUCUGAAAGGCAAGAGGCCGGGGGGCAAAUUUAUGCUCCGGCCACAAUCAAAAUUCGACCUCAGAACAUUGUCGAAACGGCCAAAGAAGAACCUAGGCCAUCUGCUUUUUCGGUCGAGACUGAAAGUGUGGUAGGCCUAGAAGAAAAAUUUCAAGUUUUUGAGCCAGAAAUCAACUUAGAAAAUGAUUCGUCAGAGGAGUGUUCCAAUGACGAACAAGAUAGAUACACGGCUUCAAACCAUAAAAUCACAUCGAUUGAUAUGGUAAUUGAAGACAUAGACCUAGCCGCCAAAACCACGCCAAUCGAUAUUAUUAUUGGUGAUAAAGCCGAUAUGGAGAAAUUCCGUUCGGCCACGUUGUUCGAGUUAAAAGCCGAAAUUGGCGAAAUUAUUAUGUCUGGGGGGCAUAAUAAUUGUUCAACACAUUCGGCGGCCGAUAAAAAAUCUCUUCAAGCCGAACAUAUUUGGAGAUGAUCUUUUAUUCGGCUUUGGAAAAUCUCAAAGUGAAAAUUUUGAUGUAAAAAGAUCUCGGCUCGGAAUAAAACAUCGUUGGCCUCCUCCACUUUAUAGUUCGGCAACUUUUGUUUUUUGUCUUUUUUUGCUAAAAAAAACAACAAAAAAAGAUGAAUAAAUUAUUUUCUUAACCAUUCGGCCUUUCAGGCCGAUGCAUAAGAAAAUAAAGGGGGCAACAAUCCAAUGGAUUAUGGGGCUGUUGGCAAGGCUGUUCUUGUUUUUGGUUUAGGAGUUUUGAUAUGGGUACUGCCGGCAGACAACCCGCUUCAAACAGUGGCGCGUAACGCUUUAUCGAAUAUAGCAUUAGAUGGUAGUGCGAUGGGAGAUGUUAUUGGAGUUGUCCUAUCCGUGGUCACUGACGAAGCUUUGUUAGGGCCCGUAAUAGCCGGCAUUGGCAUAUGUUUUCUUAUUGGAGAAAUCACCAUCUGGUUGACUAAUGAAAUUUUUGGGUCUGGAGGCAGUGGGCCGUUAAGCACAACGGGGCAUCAAUGUUACGUCGCUCAGUUGCCCGACGGCAAAGUUCUGGCACGAGAAAUCGCGCAUCGGCAAUCUUAAGAGGGUGAGGAUCUUCAGAUGUUUACCGGUUUUGAGCACUACUGCGCCCAAGUCUACAUAUUCUCCCUACUGAAUAACUUGAGGCCUAUUUUAUGUUAUAUACUUCUUUAAACUAGUACAGUCUGUGUGAGAGGUGUGGGAAAUGUUAUCCAAAUAAGAAACCAAAUCCAUAAAUAAAGGUAAUGCGAUGCGAUGAUUACCGAAACUUUAUUUAAAUUGAACAUGAAGCCGAUGCGGAUGGCGCAAAACCAUGGUGCGGGUUCGAUUUUCAAUGAUUCUACUCGCUUAACGACCAACCAUUUAACUUGCUAACGCUACUACUACAAAAAUUAAACAUGAAGCCGCAGAUUUAUUACAACAUCAAGUAACAUCAAGCCAAAUGCAUUUGAAAUUAACAUCAAGCAAUCCAGACCGCACCACAUUUAAAUAAUAAAACUCAAAUUACUAUAAUUAUUGUAAAUAUGAGUAUUCAAUAGGAGAGAUUUUUUCAAGUGCUGGGUAUUCAAGCAGAACUCGACCUGUAAUGAUACAAGUGUAGAAAAUGAUAUAUUUUUUUGUGUCUCAAUGUAGAGUACCCACUUGAAUAUUAGGCGCUUGAAAAAAUUUCUCCGCCAAUAGGAUGGAUUGAACCUUCUACGGUAUGUUAAGAUGGACAAACCAAUGUAAGCAUUGUAAAAAGAUGAUAUACAAAUAACUCGAUUAUUUCUUUCUUUCUAUUUCACAUUCAUUAAGUCAAUCUGAUUAAACAUGUAAAUUCUUGCUUCAUCAAAACCACCCCCAGUACAAAGCUUUCAAACCCUAGAAUAAAAACAAUUAAAGGGAAACGAAACCUGGAAAAGCUAUACACCGUGUUAAAAGGAAUAAACACCGCCACCCCCAUCUUAAUCUGUUACGGACACAACUUCUUCCCUCCUAACAUCAUCGCCAACAUCGAUAACAACAUUAAUAAAUAAUAAUAGAGGGAAAGAAUAUACUCCCGAAAGGGCAAUACCUACAAGGGUAAGUCUGCAGUUUACUGCUAAACUGGGAUGACAUCAUUCUUUGAUGCAUCAUCACAUCUCAACACAAUACCCUCGACGCUGGCUGGAAAGAUACAUUUGGCCCACUGGCAUCCUGUCGUGAUCGGCUCAGGUGGAGGAACAAUCAUCAGCACAUUUUCAUUUCUUUGGACGACUCCCAUUACACUAACUGUGCUUCCUUCUUUUAUGUACCUGCAAAUACGACAUUGCAGUUUAGCGCUACAAUCACUUUAAUUUGCAUCUACCAAAAUCAAACUACUUGUAUGGAAAAGUAAACAAAUCUCAUUCACAUUACUUAUACAGUAUCGGUAGUUGUCAGAGCACACAGUUAAGUUCCUAUUCUAACUCCAAUUUAUUUGUCCUUAACAAUAUAUAUUUUUUACUCCUUUUUUCUUGUCUUUCUUUCCUUCUUCCUGGGCUUCUUCAAUCUCAUCAAAUCCAUCUCUGCCGCACCUGCAUCUUGUUGUGCGGAAGCGGCGUUCGACUGUAAGUGAAUAGUAAGACAGAACAGAAACAAAACCAACACCAACAAGAACACCAAGAUUUAUACUGGUUCGGCAAUACCUACAUCCAGUUUGGAGACGACGGAGUAUUCCACUAUAAUCAAUGAGAACAUACAAUAGUGUUUAUCACUCAAUUUCCCAAAGACCCAAAUAACCCCAAGCUCUCACACUUACAAUAGGAAGAGAAAACCAAAAAUACAAAGCAAGACAAUUUGAGAAAAUUCUUCUCUAUGCCAAAUGGCUUCUUGCUAUUUUUCUCUCUUCCUUGUUCUUCUCUACUUCUCCAUGCUUAUGAGCUACACCUUGCUCUCCUUUUAUAGCCAAAGAAAAGCUUCUCAAAAACAUCAAUGGCCAAAGGCCUAACAUCAAGUCAAAAAGAAUUAGGCAUAAGUGCAUCCAAUUUUGGUUUCCCACAUGUAGCAUGCCAUCCAACAAUUUUGACCACAAAAGUAGCCCAAAGAUUUGGGCUUUGACUACAUGUUUGAGUCAAUAAUCAACAAUCUCCACCUUGACUCAAACCCUCUAAGUAGAACUCCAAAUAGUCGUCUCCCAAUCCCCCAUGGGGCAAUCAACAAAUUUUACAAAUGCCAAUCAAGUCUAAGCAGUGCUUAAACUUGUGCAACGAAACUGGCUUUGUUAACAUAUCAGCAGGAUUGUCAGCGGUCCCAAUCUUCUGAAGAAGAAUAUCUCCCUCGUCAAUAAUCUUACGAACAAAAUGGAACCUCACAUCAAUGUGUUUCGUACGUGCAUGAUGAACUUGAUUCUUUGCUAAAUGAAUAGCACUCUGACUGUCGCAAUGAACAUCCACAUGGUCUUGUUGAACCCCUAAGUCAUCAAGCAACCCUUGAAGCCAGAUGGCUUCCUUUAUAGCUUCUGUUACAACCAUGUAUUCUGCCUCAGUAGUCGACAAAGCAACUGUAGAUUGCAGAAUCGACCUCCAACUUACUGGACCUCCAGCAAUAGAGAAUACAAAACCAGUAGUGGACCUACGCUUGUCCAAAUCACCUGUGUAAUCAGAAUCCACAUAUCCAACAACACAUUUACCAGUAACUUUAUCCUGCUGGAACAAUAAACCAACAUCCACAGUACCCAGAAUAUACCGUAGAAUCCAUUUCACAGCUUGUGAAAAUCAGGCCUAGUACACACCAUAGCAUACAUCAAACUACCAACAACAUUUGCAUAAGGAAUUUGAGCCAUGUACUGACUCUCUUCAACAGUUUUAGGAGACAUAGAAGCGCUAAGUUUGAAAUGAGAGGCAAGAGGUGUACCAACCGGUUUUGAAUUUUCAUUCAUCCUGAAACGUUGUAGUACCUUCUUCAAAUACUGCUUCUGACACAGACUAAUCUUGCCCUUCGCUCUAUCUCUUUCAAUUUCCAUACCUAGUAUCUUCCGAGCUUCUCCCAAGUCCUUCUUCUCAAAUUCAUUACUUAGUUGAGUCUUCAACCUUGUGUAAUCUCCACUUUGCUCUUACAUGCUAUAAGCAUAUCAUCAACAUAUAAAAGCAGAUAAAUGAAGGUUCCAUCUUGUAGUUUGCGAAAGUAUACACAAUGGUCAUAGUGACUUCUUGUGUACUUCUGCCCGAUCAUAAAUCUAUCAAAUCGCUUGUACCAUUGUCUUGGAGACUGCUUCAAGCCAUACAAUGAUUUUUUCCAAUUUGCAAACCCAAUUUUCCUUUCCAGCAACCUUAAAACCCUUCUGGUUGAGACAUAUAAAUCUCCUCCUCCAAAUCACCAUGUAAGAAUGCAGUCUUGACAUUCAAGUUGGGCCAACUCAAGGUCAAAACUGCACAACCAAAGCCAACAAAAUACGAAUAGAAGAAUGUUUUACUACAGGAGAAAAUACCUCAUUGUAGUCAAUGCCUUCCUUCUGAGCGUAGCCUUUAGCUACCAAUCUGGCUUUGAAUCUUACAUUGUCUUUUUUCCCAAAGAUUCCAUCUUUUUGGCAUACACCCAUUUUACAACCAAUUGCUUUCUUCCCCUUUGGUAACUGAACCAGCUUCCAAGUUUCAUUUUUAUGAAGAGAUUUCAUCUCCUCAUCCAUAGAUUUCUUCCACAACUCGCAGUCUGAACUCAUGACAGCUUCUUUGUAGGCAGAUGGAAUAUCAUCUUCAAUAACAGGAAGUGCAUAUGCCACAAUAUCAGUAAAUCGAGCAGGCUUUCGAAUUUCCCUUCUCGAUCUUCUGGUUGCAAUAUAGUCUUGUUGCUGUGGAGGCUCUUGGGUAGGUGCCUCCUCUUCAUCAUCCUCGUCCUCAUCAUCAGAAUUAACUGUAGGACUAGUGUUUGAAACAUCAGACCUUACUGGAACAACUGGAGUCUUCAGUAACUCCACCUGCUUUGAGCUACUCAUGGUCUCGAUCGCUUCAGUUUCACCUUCAUGAUUGUUCUGAUUAACCAUAGCAGCCUCAUCAAAAGUCACAUCUCUGCUUACAACAAAUUUCUUCUCAUCUGGACACCAGAGUCGGUAUCCCUUCACGCCAGUACUAAAGCCCAUAAAUAGAGCUUUCUUUGCUCUUGGAUCCAACUUGCUUUCUCUGACAUAAUAGUAAGCAGAACAACCAAAUAUGUGUAAAAACUUGUAAUCAGUACAAGGUUUACCAGACCAUACCUCCAUGGGCGUUUUGCCCUCAUUCGCAGCAGCUGGCAAUCGAUUAAUGAGGUGGCUUGCAUAAGUAAUUGCCUCAGCCCAAAAUGCCUUGCCUAAUCCAGCAUUAGACAACAUACACCGAACUUUCUCAAGCAAAGUACGGUUCAUGCGCUCCGCCACCCCAUUCUGUUGCGGUGUCUCCCUAACCGUGAAGUGCCUCACAAUACCCUCAUCUUGACAAAUUUUCAAGAAAGGAUCAGACUUAUAUUCACCCCCAUUGUCUGAUCUGAGAGUCUUGAUCUUUCGACCGCUUUGCGUUUCAAUCAUCUUUUUCCACUUCAGGAAUAUCUUCAAGACUUCAUCUUUACGCUUCAUGGUGUACACCCAUAUUCUUCUAGAGAAGUCAUCAACAAAGGAGACAAAAUAAUGGCUACCUCCCCAAGAUGCAUUCUUGGAAGGUCCCCAAACAUCAGUGUGAACAUAAUCAAGAAUGCCUUUAGUGUGGUGAAUAGCAGUGCCAAAUUUUACUCUAGUUUGCUUACCCAACACACAAUGCUCACAGAAUUCCAAUUUGCAUGCCUUUGCACCUUUCAAUAAGCCUUGUUUCACUAAUCCUUGCAACGCUUUUUCACCAGCAUGCCCAAGACGCAUAUGCCAUAACCUCGUGGUGUCUGUGCUAUCUGCGUCAGCAGCUUCGGUGACAGCUGCUCCACCAAUAACUGUACUCCCCUGCAAGAAAUACAAGUUAUUUCGUCUUGUACCUUUCAUCACCACCAGUGCCCCGUACACAGCUUUAAGAACUCCACCCUCCAUGGUGAUCUUGAGACCCUUGGAUUCCAAUGCACCCAGUGAGAUAAGAUUUUUCUUCAUAUCCGGUACAUACCGAACAUCACUUAAUUCUCUGACUGUUCCAUCAUGCAUCUUCAAACAGAUUUUGCCUAUCCCUUGUGUUUUGCAGGCAUUAUUAUUACCCAUCAAAACAACUCCACCAUCCAGCUCCUCGAAUUUAGAAAACCACUCCCGAAUGGGACACAUAUGAUAGGUGCAACCUGAAUCCAAAAUCCACUCAUUUGAGUGACCAUCAGCAUAUGAACUAGCCAAAGCAAACUCGAAAUCAUCAUCAUCUCCAGAUUUUGCAAUAUUUGCUUCAGAACCCGCUUUCUCCUUCUCUUUGUUCUUCAAUUUGGGGCAGUCUUUCUUCCAAUGACCCUUUUGGCGACAAAAAGCACAUUCAUCUUUAGCAGGAAACUUCCCUCGUGACUUUGAACGAGAUUUUCCCCGCUUCCCAGAUUUUCUUUCCUCUAUUCGACCCCUUGCAACAAAUGCCUCGGUUUGUGAAUUGUGAGUCUUCAUUUCCUUCUUACGACACUCAUGAUUCACCAAUGCCGCAGACACCUCAUCAAGUUUCACCUCGGAUUUUCCAUACAACAGAGUAGUUGUCAAAUGAUCAUAAUCAUCAGGCAAUGAAUUUAACAAACAUAGUGCCUUGUCCUCGUCAGGAAUUUUCACAUCAAGGUUUGCUAAAUCAGCAAGUAUUUUAUUAUAAUCAUUGAGGUGUUCGUGCAUAGAGAUACCUGGACGAUACUGAAAUUGGAAGAGUCGCUUCUUCAAGAAGAGACGAUUUUCUGCGCUCUUGGUCAUAUACUUCUCCUCCAAUUUCGUCCAUAACUCCUUAGCAGAAGUUUCCUUCAUAUACGGGUAUUUCAACUCCUUAUCAAGGAACGAUCGAAUAGCAGCACAAGCAUGAAGAUUAAUUCGCAUCCACUGCUUGUCAUCAAUAUCUUCUGGUUUAUCUUCCAGAACCAUAUCCAACUCUUGUUGAUACAACACAUCCAUAACUUCACAUUGCCACAUACCAAAAUUAUUAGAGCCAUUGAAUUUAUCAACCUCUAACCUUGUAGUAGUGGUUGGAUGUCUAUUGGAUGUAGACGAAGACGAUGCUGACUCCUUCCUUACAGAUUCGUCUUUAUCUCCAGCCAUCUACUCGGCACUGUUCACAAAUACGGCACUGUUCACAGGUACAAUACUGUUCACAGAUACUGUAGCAGUUCACUGUUCACGGAACUGUAACGCCAACACUAUUCACGGAACUGGGCUCUGAUACCAAUUGUUGUGCGGAAGCGGCGUUCGACUGUAAGUGAAUAGUAAGACAGAACAGAAACAAAACCAACACCAACAAGAACACCAAGAUUUAUACUGGUUCGGCAAUACCUACAUCCAGUUUGGAGACGACGGAGUAUUCCACUAUAAUCAAUGAGAACAUACAAUAGUGUUUAUCACUCAAUUUCCCAAAGACCCAAAUAACCCCAAGCUCUCACACUUACAAUAGGAAGAGAAAACCAAAAAUACAAAGCAAGACAAUUUGAGAAAAUUCUUCUCUAUGCCAAAUGGCUUCUUGCUAUUUUUCUCUCUUCCUUGUUCUUCUCUACUUCUCCAUGCUUAUGAGCUACACCUUGCUCUCCUUUUAUAGCCAAAGAAAAGCUUCCCAAAAACAUCAAUGGCCAAAGGCCUAACAUCAAGUCAAAAAGAAUUAGGCAUAAGUGCAUCCAAUUUUGGUUUCCCACAUGUAGCAUGCCAUCCAACAAUUUUGACCACAAAAGUAGCCCAAAGAUUUGGGCUUUGACUACAUGUUUGAGUCAAUAAUCAACACAUCUCUCUUGCAACUGAUAAAGUUUGUUUGUUUUGGUGUUUUGAUUGAUUGUUUGGAUUGGUUUCUUAGGGUUAGAAUGGCAGAGAAUGGAGAGAACUUGGAGAUGAGAUUGACGGCUUCAAAGGCUGUGUAAUUAAGAUACAGAGGCAAUAAUUUCAUUAAGUAGGUGAAUGUUUGUAGCGUAUGGUGCAUUGCCAUGACCCAUACUUCUUCAAGAGAGUGAUUGACAAGAGACUUAAACAACCAUUUCAUCAUUCUUACUCCAGAUUAAAUCCUAGCCCUUCAUUUGGGUUUUAAGUUAUCUAAUAUGGAGUGUACACUUGUCACUCACACACUCACACAUACAUUUAAAUAAAAAAACUAGCCGUUGGAGGCUCUUUCUUCUUCUUUCUUCUUCGAUGUAGACAUCAGCCAUGCUCAGGAGCUCUUUGCUGCCUUCGAUUCUUCGAUUCCAAAAGCUGUUUAGCUUCCAAAACUCCCCUCUAAAUUGCUUUUAGGAGUCAUUCCGAGCAAUCCCCUCAGGUAAUUGAAUCUCUCAUUCGGUAAUGCUUUUGUGAAAAUGUCAACGAUCUGAUCUUUUGUGCUGCAAUAGAUUAGCUUGAUUGUGUUGUUCUGCAAUGCCUCUCAGAUGAAAUAAUAUCUUCUUUUGAUAUGCUUUAUUCUCUGAUGAAAUACUAGGUUUUUUAUCAUGGCAAUUGCAGAGGUGUUGUCACACAAGAGUAGUGUGGCAUCAACCUGCAAUUCGCCAAAAUCUUUGAGUAUAAACCUUAGCCAUAGCUUGAGCCAUUGAUUCUAAUGCACUCACGUACUCUACCCCAGCUGUGGACAGUGCAACACUUUGUUGCUUCACUGAGGCCCAUGAAAACACUCAUGAACCAAAGGUGAAAGCGUAGCCCGAUGUGAUUUUGCUAUCAUCUUCACUGCCACCCUAGUCACUGUCACAAAAUCCAAUUAGGAUAGUUGACUUCCCCAUCUCAUACUUGAUCCCAUAAUCAAGUGUUCCUUGCACAUAUCUUAGCACUCUCUUAGCUGUCCCCAUAUGUAUCUUGCUAGGAUUAUGCAUAAACCUAGAAAGUAGGCUUGCUGAGAACAUUAGAUCCGGCCUUGUUGCAGUUAGGUACAAUAGACUGCCAACAAUGGUUUUGUAGAGACUAGCAUCCGCAGGUUCACUUCCAUCAUCCUUCUUAAGCUUUUCAUUUGCGAUUAGGAGUGUAGAGACCGGUUUGCAUCCCUUUAACCCAAACUUUUCAAGCAAUGUUUCAGCAUACUUCUUUUGAUGAAUGAAGAUGCUACUUGCUUCUUGAAUUACCCCAAUGCCAAGAAAAUGAUGCAAGAGGCCUAGGUCAAUCAUUUCAUACCUCUUCAUUAUUUCUUCUUUGAACUUUUCAAUCAUUGCAACAUCAUUUCCAAUGUAGACCACAUCAUCCACAUAGAUUGAAACAAUGAGGGUCUUGUUGUUACUUUCUAUUUUGGUGUAGAGUGUAGCUUCACUAUGACUUUUCUGAAAUCCUUUCUUAGUGAAAUAAGAAUCAAUAUCACUGUACCAAGCCCUUGGAGCUUGUUUUAGGCCAUAGAGUGCCUUCCUUAGCUUGUACACAUUCUCUAGGAAAUGCUUCACUUGUGAACCCUUGAGGUUGUUCCACAAACACCUUAUCCUCUAGCACUCCAUUUAGAAAUGCCGAUUUGACAUCCAAUUGAUGCAACUUCCAACCUUUCUUGGUUGCUAGGGCUAUCAAGGUCCUUAUGGUGUCUAACCUUACUGCUGGUGCAAAGGUUUCAUUGAAGUCUACACCAGGCUUCUGUGAGUAGCCUUUAGCUACCAAUCUUGCCUUGUUCUUCUACACAAAACCAUCUAGGUUGAGCUUGGUUUUGUACACCCAUUUCACUCUAAUCAUAGGUUUUUCACUUGGUCAAUUUACAAGUUCCGAAGUGUCAUUCUUCUGUAUCAUUUCAAGCUCUACCUUCAUUGCUUUCUUCCAAGCUUUGACUUUCUCAGCUUCUUCAUAUGUUUCUGGUUCCACUACACAGUAAUUACAUGUAGCAUAUAUCUCAUCUAAGCUUGUCAACCUCACUGGAAUUGAACUUGGAGUUGUUAUCUGUGAGUGACUCGGUUGUAGACUCAUGCUUGCUUACUGUGGAGUCCCUUGUGUGUCACCAUUCUCUGUGGUUUCUUCUUGAAUUAAGCUCUCUACAGGCUGGCUUGUUUACCCAUUGUUGAGGUCAAGUUGUAGAGAGACACUGUCUUUCUUUUCUACACUUGUUUCCCAAUUCCAUGUUGAGUCUUCAUCAAAGAUAACAUCCCUUGAUAGGAUUAUCUUCUGAGUUGACAGAUUAUAAACUCUGUACCCAUUUUCACUAGUUUCAUAACCCACAAACACACCCUUGUUGCUUGAUUUCUCCAAAAUUUUCCUUAGUUGUUGAGGAAUGUGAGUAUAACACACUAAGCCAAACACUCUCAGAUGCUUCACAGAAGGCUUCCUUCCACUGAACACUUCCAAAUGGUGUCUUCUUAUCCAGUGCUUUAGUAGGGCACCUAUUCAAUAUGUACACUGAGGUGUUCACAGCUUCACCCCAAAAUGUAUAGGGCAUGUUCUUCUCAUGCAUCAUAGACUUAGCCAUUUCAACUAUAGUCAUAUUCUUCCUUUUUGCAAUGCCAUUCUGUUGUGUUGAAUAUGCCAAUGUGAGUUGCUUCUCCAAUCCCACAUCUUCAUAGAAUGCCUUGAACUCAAGAGAGGUGUACUCUCCUCCCCUAUCACUUCUUGGUCUUUUGAUUUGGUAUCCACUUUGCAAUUCCACCAUUGCCUUGAACUUCUUGAAUAUUGUGAAUACCUCAGACUUGAACCUCAUGAAAUACACCCAACACAUCCGUGAGUAGUCAUCAAUGAAGGUUAGGAAAUACAUGUUUCCACUGAUUGUUGUUGUUUGCAUUGGUCCACACACAUCCGUGUGAAUCAAUUCGAGUGGCUUUGUUGCCCUCCAAGCCUUUCCAGCUUAAAAUGGAUCUCUGUGAUGCUUUCCAAACACACACCACUCACUGGUUUCACUGCAUUGAUCCAACUUUGGUAUACCUUGUACCAUUUCAUGCUUUUGCAGAUUUUCUAGACUUGUCAUGUUUAAGUGACCAAGCCUCUUGUGCCAUAGCUUCAUUAAACCUGUCACACUUGCUUUCCUUGCCACCUCUUCUAGGUACUUCAACAUAAGUGGAAAGCUUUUAUUUUCCACUUCCACUCUAGUCACCAGGUUUGAUAGGGACUUGUCAUUAUAAAUCUCGACCACAAUUCCCCCAAAGAGUAGGAAAUAACCAUGCUCUAUCAUUUGACCCACACUAAGUAGAUUCUCAUACAAUCCAGGCACUAGCAUCUUUUCCCUUAUGCAUCUUCUUCCUUUCUUGGUGUUAAUGACCAGAGUUCCUCUUCCAGUGGCUUUGACAAUGUUUCCAUCCCCCAUUUUCACUUUUCCAGUGAAGUUUGUGUCAAUAUCAAUGAGUAAUGACUCAUGUGCAGUCAUGUGAUUGCUGCAGCCACUGUCAAUGUACUAUACUUCAAUGUUUUUCUCCACUUUUGCACUGAAAGCACAUAACACAUUUGCUUCUUCUUCCACUUGGUUUACACAGCUCACUUGUUGCACAUUCUUUGAUCUGCAAUCCUUUAUGAUAUGUCCAAACUUGUUGCAUUUGUGGCAUCUAGGCUUGUCUUUGAACCAACACUCCCCAAAAUGGGAUUUGUCACAGUGCUUGCAUUGCUGCUUGGUUCUUGGACCUUCAUUUGAGUUACUGCAUUGGUUAGGUCUAGGGUUUUGAUACCCAUUUCCUUCCCAUUUCUUGUUCUUGCCCUUCCACUGUGGUUUUUGUUUGCCUGUACUAACUUGACUACUAGAUCCAACAGAGAGUGAUUCAAAUACUUUCUCAAUGGCAAAAUCAGCAUGCCUCUCAAGUCUUUGGUCAAAAGCUCUUAAGGUGCCAUCACAUUUAGCACACUAAGAGUUUCAAUGUCUUUGGUUUCUUCAAUGACACUCACUAUUGAAUCAUAGGGCUUAGUCAAACUGAUCAAUAGUUUUUGGACAACUUUUUCAUUAGGCAGUUCCUCACCAUGUGUUUUCAUCUUAUUUACAACAUCAAAUAGUCUAGUAAAGUAAUCUUUCAACAGCUUAUUUUCCCUCAUUCUUGUAUACUCGAAAUCUCUUCUAAGGGAUUGAAGUUUUACCUUUCUGACUUUGGUGUCUCCUCUGUAUUUUUGCUGUAAAACUUCCCAAGCUCCCUUUGCAGUCUCUUCAUUUGCUAUCCUCGGGAAAAUGGUGUCUGAGACAGCACCUUGGAUGAUUCUCAGUGCUCUAGCAUCCUCCAUCAGGUUCUACUUCAAUGUUUUAAGUUGUGUUUCUGUGAGGUCCUCCUCUAGAGCAUUGACCUCCAUCUCAGGUAGUUCAUACCCGUAUUGAACCAUAUCUCAUAUAUCAUAGGAUUUGAAAAUGGUUGUCAUUCUUAUUCUCCAAAAGUCAUAGUUCUCCCCAUCAAAGACUGGAGUUUUUAGCUCACUGCUACUGCUGGAUCCCUUCAUUUGCAGGGUUGUUUGUUGGUGUUUGUUGUUGAGGACACUACGUAGGUGCUCCCAAAUAUCUCAACUUGCACAGAUUACGCCCAGAAAGUUGUAAGAUCACAAACUAGGCUCUGAGGCCAUGAUAAAGUUUGUUUGUUUUGGUGUUUUGAUUGAUUGUUUGGAUUGGUUUCUUAGGGUUAAAAUGGCAAAGAAUGGAGAGAACUUGGAGAUGAGAUUGACGGCUUCAAAGGCUGUGUAAGAUACAGCAAUAAUAAUUUCAUUAAGUAAGUGAAUGUUUGUAGGGUAUGGUGCAUUGCCAUGACCCAUACUUCUUCAAGAGAGUGAUUGACAAGAGACUUAAACAACCAUUUCAUCCUUAUU